rnacentral:rRNA from 1 species
GAACUCUAACAUAUGUGCGAGUGUGAGGAGCUAAACACCUUCAUGCCUGCAUAUUCGUGCUCUUGGGUGUACUUGCUCGUGUGGUUGGUUAACAUCAAUUUCGGACGCCAUAAAAUGGCUGGAGGAAUGUAGCUUCGAUCUCGUAUUGAAGUGUUAUAGCCUUCGGUAGAUGUGGUGAUCGAGAUUGAGGGAUUGCAACGGAUACCCGUUCGGGGCUACCUGUCUGGUCUCUGAUCGUUGCUCUGGUGCCGAAAGCUUGCUUACGGUUAUCAAAGUCGAUGGUC